rfam:Schizopora paradoxa strain KTC8140 unplaced genomic scaffold SCHPAscaffold_00061, whole genome shotgun sequence.
GGCCGCCUGGCGAAAUGGUAUCGCGUCUGACUACGAGGUGGAGAGUUGUGAGCGUCAGGCGUCCCUUGACGCUCACCAUUCUUCUUCGUGAAAUCAGGAGAUUGCAGGUUCGAGCCCUGCGGUGGUCA